rnacentral:rRNA from 1 species
AUGAACGCUAGCGGCAGGCCUAUAACAUGCAAGUCGAGCGGCAAGUCGAGGAGUAAUCUAAGACCUAGAGCGGCGCACGGGUGCGUAACGCGUAUGCAACCUACCUUAUACUGAGGGAUAGCCCGGAGAAAUCUGGAUUAAUACCUCAUGGUACAUAUUGAAGGCAUCUGAGAUAUGUUAAAGAUUUAUUGGUAUAAGAUGGGCAUGCGUCUGAUUAGCUAGUUGGCGGUGUAACGGACCACCAAGGCGACGAUCAGUAGGGGUUCUGAGAGGAAGGUCCCCCACACUGGCACUGAGAUACGGGCCAGACUCCUACGGGAGGCAGCAGUAGGGAAUAUUGGGCAAUGGUCGGAAGACUGACCCAGCCAUGCCGCGUGCAGGAAGACGGCCCUCUGGGCUGUAAACUGCUUUUAUCUGGGAAGAAAAAGGCCAUGCGUGGCAAAUUGCCGGUACCAGAUGAAUAAGCACCGGCUAACUCCGUG